UUUGCAUUGUAAUACACUGUUA
rnacentral:miRNA from 1 species